rnacentral:tRNA from 1 species
GCGCAGAGUAGAGUAGUUUGGUAAGCUCACAAGGCUCAUAACCUUGAGGUCACAGGUUCAAAUCCUGUCUCCGCGUU